rnacentral:lncRNA from 1 species
GAACAAAGGAAGGAGGAAGUAACUUGUGGAGUGCUGAGAAAGGUGAUCAGAAGAGCCAUCACUGAAGAUGACAACUGAGCAAAGACCCAAAGGAGGUGAAGAGUGAACUACGGAGGAAGCACCUUCCUGGCAGAGAACAGCAAGUGCAAAGGCCCUGGGCAGGGAGGAUGACUGGGGAUCAUUCAAGCAAGAGCAAAGAGGCCAAUGUGGAAGGAACAGAGUCAGCAAGAAGGAGUGUAAAAGGAGUACUGUUUGUGUUGGCAAAGUCACUUAAAUGCCCUUCUAUGACAAGCUGGCAGAGCUGCUUGCCGCACUAGGGAAGGAGGAGGAAAUGACAGCAGAGGAGCUUCAUCCAGACAGAAAGAUGUAGAAGGGUCCAGCCCUUCCCUCACAUCAGGGUGCAAAGAGUAGGAGGCAGUCAAACAUGUAUCAUCACUUCCCUGCCCGCAAAUUCCGAGGAAGAGGUGAUGUACCAGUCAGGAGACAGAAACCACACCAGUCAUUUCAAUAGGGAAAAUUUAAUAAAAGAAUUAUUAACAAAAAGUAGAUACUGCUAAGAGAGCGUUCUGUGUUUUCUGAGAUUCUGUAUUCAUCUAUUUGGCAUCCAUUAGUCUAAUCACAGGGUCAAACUCACACACAGCCAAAGCUGUUUCCGUCUCCCCUGCCACCCAGAGCCCAUUCUCUGAACCACCUCCUUAUCUAACUCUCACACACAGAGCCAAUAUUUCUCCUACCCUAAAUCACCCAGAGCUAGGAACCAGACAACGAGGGACGGCCCUCUGCCCCAGGGCCCCCCAGAAUUAUCCAAAAUAGCCAAUCCUCAGAUGUUUCCCUGGCCCUGUCUGGCCUUUCCCACAGAAGCCCAACAAAGGCUCUGGCCUGGGCGUUCCCCCAGCUCCUUUCUGCCCUGUGGAUGGUGCUUCCCCAUGUGCCUGUGUGGUGUGGCGUGGCAUGCUCCCCUCUUGGAAAUGGAAGUAAUAAACAUUUUCCAUUUUCUUUUAUUGGGAUUGGCCUUUCUGUGCCAUCACUCAAUAACCUCCACAGACUGA